rnacentral:tRNA from 1 species
UCUAAUAUGGCAGAUUAGUGCACUGGAUUUAAGCCCCAAUCAUAAAAUUAUAUUUUUUUUAGAA